AAAAGUACCACCGGGAGACGCGAUCGACGCGACACCGUUGUCGCUCCGCGAAGCACCGUCGGAGCGGCAGUCGCUAGUGUCCACUUGGUGCUGGUGUGUUUUCAGCCGGUUCUGGGUUCUUUCGGUGAGAACCUGAGGGGAGACCUGCGGACGAACGUAAAAUCGAACCCGCAGCAGAACCGUGGCGAGCACGACGUUCGGAAAACUCUCGCCGCUCGUCGUCGCGGGGCUUGACCUCGAUGCCUCGCACGCGCAUAUGGCCCCAAAAACCCCAUUUUCAACCCCGAAACGUCCCCGCACCAUCCCCUACUUUUAAACACACAUUACCGACGUCAGAAUGAACCGAUUGACGAAAGAAACAUCCCGAUUAGACACGCCGAAGUGCUGGGAAGGGUGGCAAAAGUGAACAGGUGCGUGGUUUCCCCCCCGAGGACCCCCCUCGCGUCGUUUGUUGCAAGUGGUACCCACGAGAAAGAGAUGCAGAAGAAGAAGAAGAAGAAGAAGAAGAGAGAAGAAGAAGUCGGUCAUUGCGGCUAUACAGUGCGGCGACGGCUCCUAAGAAGAUUGUCACGGAUGAUUAGCGAUGGUACCUGAAGAUGAUUAUGGUACUUUUGGGGUAUUGCCGACCGCCGACAGAUUAGAGAGAGCGAGAGAGAAGUAGUAGGUACGAUCUACUUAAGUUAGAUUAGUAUUAGUUUAAGGUCUGUUUGAAUAUAUGUUUUUAUUAUUAUAAGCAUUUCUAAUAUAGAGAAAGUGUAGUAUAGUGUUUUUGGAAUUUGCAUAAAAUUUCCAAUGUUUACUCAAAAUGAGUCAUGUUUAAGUUUUCCUUAAUCAACAAAAACUGCCAAUUCUUCUUCUUCGGCUUAAAACUUAUCAUCAGAAGCACAAGGUCAGUUCUACUUCUUUAAUUCCGGUUUUUAGAAUUUUCAACCAUUAUAUCAUACCAAGUAUUUUCAAUAAAAACAUUGCAUUUUGCUCAUAAUUUGCAAAGUCUCAGUGGUUUCUUUUUUAUCCAUUGCUCAUAGAAUAAGAGCUCAAUAAACAUGAGAAGAUAGAUGUCGAAUUCAUUCAUUUUAGAUUCCUGUUUUUGGAGUUUCGACGCAAACUUCUUUAAGAAACUCGUCACUAUUCCACAUGAUGACCAGUUCCUCACGUUCUCAUAAAAAUGUCCAUAUAGCAAAGGCAAUAAUUCAAUCUAAAUCGUUUAUUCCCUCGUAAAUCAGAUUUAAACGAGUUUCUUGUGUCAAAAAGGUGGCAAUUUCGCUUAAUUUAUAAGCAAUUUUGGCGCUAUUGGAGAGUGUUUUCUAUUAUUUCUGCCUCAAGGGACUAAGGUGGGUUUAGGGCAAUAAAUACAAGGAUGAAUUACGACCAGUUGUUUAUUUAUUUUUUUAUAUCCAAUUGUGCCAUAUUUAGUUAUAAUUAGGAUUAACAUUAAUUUUAAAAUAAAUUAAUUAUUUUUUUUGUGCAAGGCUGAAUUAAAGCUUUAAUAGUUACACUCUGUACAUAAUUAAACGUAAUUUUAUUAUAGUAUUUCUAAUUUAAAA